rnacentral:sRNA from 1 species
UGAUACCAGGGUCAAAAGGUCAUGAGUUUCAUGCUUGCAUGAAAAAGCAUGACUUUGGGACCCGCAAAACAUGAGAAAGUAGCCCGAGCAGGGCGGAUUUCGAAUGUUUUUAGGAUUGCGGGAGCACAAAGUGCGUAGCAAUCCGUAGGUAUCA